rnacentral:rRNA from 1 species
UCCUACGGGGGGCAGCAGUAGGGAAUCUUCCACAAUGGGCGCAAGCCUGAUGGAGCAACACCGCGUGAGUGAAGAAGGGUUUCUGCUCGUAAAGCUCUGUUGUUGGAGAAGAACGUGCGUGAGAGUAACUGUUCACGCAGUGACGGUAUCCAACCAGAAAGUCACGGCUAACUACGUGCCAGCAGCCGCGGUAAUACGUAGGUGGCAAGCGUUAUCCGGAUUUAUUGGGCGUAAAGCGAGUGCAGGCGGUUGCUU